rnacentral:rRNA from 1 species
CUACGUGCCAGCAGCCGCGGUAAUACGGAAGGUCCAGGCGUUAUCCGGAUUUAUUGGGUUUAAAGGGAGCGUAGGCUGGAGAUUAAGUGUGUUGUGAAAUGUAGACGCUCAACGUCUGACUUGCAGCGCAUACUGGUUUCCUUGAGUACGCACAACGUUGGCGGAAUUCGUCGUGUAGCGGUGAAAUGCUUAGAUAUGACGAAGAACUCCGAUUGCGAAGGCAGCUGACGGGAGCGCAACUGACGCUUAAGCUCGAAGGUGCGGGUAUCGAACAGGAUUAGAUACCCUGGUAGUCCGCACAGUAAACGAUGGAUGCCCGCUGUUGGUACCUGGUAUCAGCGGCUAAGCGAAAGCAUUAAGCAUCCCACCUGGGGAGUACGCCGGCAACGGUGAAACUCAAAGGAAUUGACGGGGGCCCGCACAAGCGGAGGAACAUGUGGUUUAAUUCGACGCAACGCGAAGAACCUUACCAGGUCUUGACAUUGAUGGACAGAACUAGAGAUAG